GUAGCCAUUCAUGAGCCCGAGGCUUUGAGAAAUGCUCGCUGUGCAGAGGGGAACUCUCACCAGAUUUUCUGAAGCUGUCCUAGAGAUACACUUUUCAGAUUGAUUCAGCAUUACCAGCUUAUCCAACAAAAGUAUUAACACAUACGUUAACAACGUCGAAAGUAGCCUACUUUAAGAGAAAAUAUGCAGAAGAAGAAGAUUUACAUCAAGAUUACCAUGGGUAUUUUCCAAAACACCUGAUACUGCCUGAGGACAGGACUUGCAUUCUCAAACUUUCUCUAGAGAAGCUCAGAUUUCUUGAAGACCCAGAAACCUACUUAAGAAGGUCUGUGUUAAUUAACAAUUUGCUGAGGAAGAUCCAUCUAGAGACGGAGAAAGAGAGCUAUGAAUACUUUAAAGAAGCUCCCUGUUAUAAGACUACUUAUUCUGAUACAAGAAAACGGCUGAAGUUUAUGGUACAGGAAUGCUGUUCUCAGUCUCUCUAUUAUGAAGAGCUGCAUUCGUAUCAUAUUGUGCCUUAUGCUUCGGAGAAUGCCAUUUAUGGAAUGGGCUACACUAGCAGCCACUUGGAGCAAAAUUCUCAGUUGCUUAUUUAUAAAAUGAAUUAAAGUAACUGUUAAAGUCCAUUGAUACCUUGUUUCUAAAUGCCUGAACUGUUUAUAGUGAAGAUGUUAACAUAAGGCACUAAUUAUCAGUGCCCUUGAGAUCAAAGAUGAGAUGCAUGCUGAACUGAUUGGAGAGAACCCUGGUUAUUAUUCAGCAGUCCUUACUAUCAUCCAGCCAAAUUGAAAAUAUGUCCACAUAUUAUAAAGCGGAGAAUAAGUGCUUUAGAAGCAAAGUUUUUUUUUUUUAAGAUAAUGUGUGUAGGAAGGAACCUAUAUUAAGUUCUUACACAGAUUUAAACAUUUCAAGCCCCCUAUUUCCAAAUUCUACCACUCUUAGUGGAAAGUAACAAAAAGUAACAGAUUCAGAUUAAACAAAUAAUGUCUUGUCCCUGAGGAUUAAGGGUGGAACGAAUUUAGUUUUCUGUAAAUGAUGAGAGGAAAGGUAGAUCCUUUCUGAAAUGCUUUGGCUUGUCAAGCAUUGUGCCAAAUAAUUGACACCAUUCUCCUUUUACCAUUAGUGGCAAUUCAAGAUGUAGCAAACCUACUGCAAUUUAACUGCUGAAUGUAACAACCAGAACACUCCACAUCGAUCCAUUUUACAUUAUUAUUUAUUUAUUUUUUUGGCUUCAUAGAGUUUUCUCUUUCAAAGUGAAAUUUAAUAAAAUAGCCUUGCAGAUGGGCUUUUAUCUAAGUCCUAGGGGUCAGUUAAAAUUUGUGGUGGGCUUUUAGUUGAGUUUAAAUUUAUUUAUGAUGUCAUUUUUAUAGGCUGUGAAGCUCAGGAAAAGGGUAGGCAGGUAAUAUUUGAUUUUAAUAGGCAGGUAAUUUAAAAAAUCUUAUCUGCAAAAACUGGUGAGAACAACAAAAAUUCUACAUGAUGUUUUUUCUUCAUCUAAGAGUUCAUUUAAGGCUGUCUGGAUGAAACUUUGCACUGAUUUUUGUAUAAUAGUCGACCAUUCACUAUUUGACAAAAUGUUUCAGAAUGCCUUUGGUGGUGAAGUUUAGAUAAGUUCCUAUAUUUUGCAAUUUGAAAGAUAAUUAUUUAACAAGUUUCAUAGAUUCCUGAAAUUGUUUGAAAUGGUUCGUGAUGUUCUUUGAGGUUUGAGUGAGGUGUCUGAUUUCAAUGUCCAGACUUAUGUUCCAUGGCACACAUCAUUUAAAGAAUUGUCAUUAACUGAUAAAACAGAUUGGAAAACUAGGUGCCAAAGCUAUAUUCAAGAAAAUACCAAAGACCCAAAGGUGAGUGUUAGAGAGACUAUGAUAAUGAAGAUAAGAAUCUAAAAUAAGGAUUGUACAGGACAUAGAAGAACAGUGUUAAAGAGAUUUGGAACGAUUUGCUUACUAGUGUGCUUUCCGAGCACUUUAUACAUACAUAAUAAUGAUAGUCAAGGGCACCGCUUGGGCCUUCAGUGAUCAUAUGUUUUUGCAAAUCUAAAUAUGGUGACUUGUCAACAUUGUAUCUUCCCUCAUUGAAUGCCAUCUUGUAAACAAGAAGGCCUUUAUCUCUUAAAGAGAAUUUUGUUUUUAGUUUUGAUUCACUACUUGCUCCCUCUAAUGAAUCAUCGGGGCGAUCAACAUGGAUGCUUUCGGUAUAAAGAAUAUUGGUGCCCUAAUUAGCAUGCAUUGUUAAAGACCACAUAGAUAUAUAAUUGAUAAAAAUAUUGGGUUUCUAUUUAAUUGCUCAAUCAGAAUUAGGAAAAAAUGCUUUAAACAAAUUGGAAAAUUAUAAUUGAGG